CGUGUCGUGAGAUGUUGGGUUAAGUCCCGCAACGAGCGCAACCCUUGUCCUUAGUUACCAGCACGUUAUGGUGGGCACUCUAAGGAGACUGCCGGUGACAAACCGGAGGAAGGUGGGGAUGACGUCAAGUCAUCAUGGCCCUUACGGCCUGGGCUACACACGUGCUACAAUGGUCGGUACAAAGGGUUGCCAAGCCGCGAGGUGGAGCUAAUCCCAUAAAACCGAUCGUAGUCCGGAUCGCAGUCUGCAACUCGACUGCGUGAAGUCGGAAUCGCUAGUAAUCGUGAAAUCAGAAUGUCACGGUGAAUACGUUCCCGGGCCUU
rnacentral:rRNA from 1 species